CCGGAAUUAUUGGGCGUAAAGCGCGCUCCGGCGGCUGGCCAAGUCCGAUGUGAAAGCUUCCGGCUUAACUGGAAAAUUGCAUCGGAAACUGGUCGGCUUGAAGGUGGGAGAGGGUAGCGGAAUUCCCGGUGUAGUGGUGAAAUGCGUAGAUAUCGGGAGGAACACCAGUGGCGAAGGCGGCUACCUGGCCCAUUCUUGACGCUGAGGCGCGAAAGCUAGGGGAGCGAACGGG
rnacentral:rRNA from 1 species